UACGUAGGGUGCAAGCGUUGUCCGGAAUUAUUGGGCGUAAAGAGCUCGUAGGCGGUCUGUCGCGUCGGAUGUGAAAACCCGGGGCUUAACCCCGGGCCUGCAGUCGAUACGGGCAAACUAGAGUACUGCAGGGGAGACUGGAAUUCCUGGUGUAGCGGUGAAAUGCGCAGAUAUCAGGAGGAACACCGGUGGCGAAGGCGGGUCUCUGGGCAGUAACUGACGCUGAGGAGCGAAAGCGUGGGGAGCGAACAGG
rnacentral:rRNA from 1 species